ACCUACGGGGGGCUGCAGUGAGGAAUCUUCGGCAAUGGGCGCAAGCCUGACCGAGCAACGCCGCGUGCGGGAGGACGCCCUUCGGGGUGUAAACCGCUUUUCUGCGGGACGAGACCGUUGGACGGUACCGCAGGAAGAAGUCUCGGCUAACUACGUGCCAGCAGCCGCGGUAAUACGUAGGAGACGAGCGUUGUCCGGAGUUACUGGGCGUAAAGGGUGCGCAGGCGGGCGCCCGCGUUCCUGGUGAAAGCUCCUCGCCCAACGGGGAGAGGGCCGGGAAGACGGGGCGCCUUGAGGCUCGGAGAGGGACGUGGAAUUCCGGGUGGAGCGGUGAAAUGCGUAGAGAUCCGGACGAACACCAACGGCGAAGGCAGCGUCCUGGCCGACGCCUGACGCUCAGGCACGAAAGCGUGGGGAGCAAACAGGAUUAGAUACCCUAGUAGUCC
rnacentral:rRNA from 1 species